rnacentral:lncRNA from 1 species
UGUCCUUGAAGAGCAGGUUUGAGAGUCUGCAUCUGUGUUUCCGGCGCCCUUCCAACUGGAAUGGCUUCUUCCUAGCAACCCACUGGUCCACGGGCAGUCCAGGAGCCAGCCUUCUGAUCUGGAGGGAGGAGGAUUUGUGGGCGGCCCUAGCCCCUCUGCCCGCUCUCACAGACCCUCUCCAGAAGAAAGACCAGACCGUUGCUCAGUCAACAGUUUGCAAGGAUUCCAAUCAAAGCUUCUACGUCCCUUUGAAGUUCCUUCACAUAAGCCAGACAGGAUUCCCAGAGUCUUCAGGACAGAGCUCUCAGUGGCGGCCCUCAGCCUUUCCAGUCUGGUCUCCAUGAAUAGCUGGACUAGAAACGUGUCUGCAAUCUCACUGAGCAUCAGCGUAUUUUCGAGAGACAGGGUUUCUCCGUGUAGCUUUGGAGCCUGUCCUGAAACUCGUUCUAUAGAUCAGACUGGCCUCGAACUCACAGAGAUCCGUCUGCCUCUGCCUCCUGUGUGCUGGGAUUAAAGGCAUGAACCACCA